GUUACAACUCUUAAUUCGCUUCGUAAAAACGAUUCUCACACGGAGAGAAAAAUUAUUCAAAAAUUAUGUACUUGUUCCGUAAUCUGCCAGCAACAACAAUAUUCGGUAAAAAUUACGAAACAGUUACCCACUUUUUCAGUGCACCUUCAGGAAAAAAUCUAAAACGUUUCAGAAAAAGUGUGAAACGUUCAGUGAAAAAUACGUAACUGUUCCGUAAUUUUUAGUAAAUACUAUUUUGACUGGCAGUUUACCGAAUAGCCAAGUAUGUUUUCAAAAAUUUUUCUCUCCGUGCAUGGAAUUUUAUUUAUUUAUUUGAGUUUGCUGAAACCUAUAGGUUUAUAAAUCUGCAAACAUGUAUUUACAAAAGUACCUCAUGUUAGGAAAUUUAGUUUUUCUUUAUCAUAUGUUCAGAGGUUAAGCAGUUAUAAAUUUAUAUUACAUUUUUUUAUAAAAUUGUCUAUAAUUACUACGCAUUCCUUAUUCAGUCUUUUAACAAUGAUUAUGUUUGGUAUGAUGGUAAGUGUCCGAGCGAUAGAGCGACUGCAAAUCAUGAGAUGUCUGUACCGCUCAUGAAGAGGGCAGUUCCAGAGAACAUGAUCAAGGUCCGUCCAUGGAAAUGUUGCCAUCUCCUCUACAUUUGGAGAUAUUCAUCAAAAACUGAUAAAUUGCUAUCGUACAAACUGGUCUGGAUGCUGCGGCUGUGAUCCAUCACUCUCUGAGCGAAGAAACAUAUGACGAAGAAGCGUGAUAAGACGGUAAAGACGUAAAGGCCGUAUUGUAUACUCUCUCCAAUUCUAUCCAAAUGGCGGGCCGUCUGUGGAAUCAAUUUGAAUUUUUGUAUAAACAGUUUGUAGAGGACGAGAUUUUACGAGACGCGAGGAAUUUUAUAGUGAUGCCAUGGAGUUGGAAAAUUUGGCAAUAGAAAAUAUUCAAAGGCAUCACGUCCAGUCAGUAAAAUACUGGCCCAAGAGUAAAGCUACUUUAACACAUCCGCACGGAAUAGUUCAUUUCCAACCUAAGGAAGUAAAAUACCAUGGGAUGCGUCAGAAAAAUCUCACCUGCAAUCCAAUUAUGCUAAUAUUAAUAGCCGAUACUCCCAGUAGAACCAUAUUAUUCCAGAGAAAUGUACUGUCCAGUAGUUUUGUAAAUCUGUCCAAUAAAAAAAUUAAUU